rnacentral:lncRNA from 1 species
UUGAAGAACCAAAGUCUCCCUAACACUAGACCACAAGUGUUGAUGCAGAACAUCGGAGUAUUUUCGUGUCAUGAGUGGAAUCACCUGAUCAUAUUCUUCUCCACUUAUACACAAAUUCAGAGAGAAACCUAAUGAAUUUGGGAGAACCCCUCUUGUGUGAAUUGAACUCGGUACCUAAUGGUCCCUAAGCCUUAUCUCACCAUAAGAUGUCACUAUGCUAUAAGGGGGUAGGGGUAGGGCUGGCAUAUCGUGUAUAUCCAUACACGAUAAGACACGAUACACGAAAUCUCAUACACGAACACGACACGAUAAUUUAUCGUGUCCUUUUUUUUUCAAACACGAACUCGAGACGAUAUACACGAAAAUUACCUGUUAAUACUUGUUAACACGACUAUUCGACUGUUAUACACGAAAAUUACCUGUUAAU